rnacentral:lncRNA from 1 species
CAAUCCUCCUGGGUUCAGAGAUGGAACUUGGGUUAAAUGCAUGGAAUUUAUUCUUAGUCCUUUUCUUAAUUACGACUUUUUAUUUCUCUGGUGUUCUCUAGGGGAGGGGUUAGAGAAGAGAGGAAAAGGAAGAAAGAAAGGGGGCAGGGAAAUAUAGAUUCAAUGCUUUUGUUUUGUUUCUGGGCUGCUUGCUAUCAGCAAAGUAGAGAGAUUUAACGGAUCUUGCCGAGAAUGCAAGCCUCAUUCCAAGGAAGCCAGAGCUCAGAAGACAUGGAACAAAUACAAUGAAAACAUAACUUGAGGUCGGAAAAUGUCCCCUGAAUAUUUAUGUCAAUGUCCUACCUUAGUGAAUAUUACUUAAUACUGUGGCUCCUUUAAAGCAUGUAAGUAGCUUGCAUUUAGCACAUUUGUACCAUGAAGAUACUGAGGCUGCCAUCAUGCUCUGUUAUUCUAAGAGAAAGAUCAACAGCAACAACAACAAUAAUAAUUUAAAAAGCAGAGGAAGAAAGUAAUCCAAGAAGACAGACGCAGAGCCUCUAAGAUCAUGAAGGAUGAUUAAAAGAACAAGUUGGGGAUGAAAAUGGGGAAUCAGAAAGCUUAUCAUCAGAGGCUGCAUGUAAGCACUGCUUUUCCAUCAACCUACCCUAGAUGGCUGGGAGAUGUGAUUUUACCAA